ACCAUAUAAAAACGCAGGGGUUUAGCGGCUUCCCCAGAUCGCUGCUGCCCCGGCGUUCUCCAGAAGCCCCGGCGGGCGAGUCGGCCGGCUGGUCGGUUGGCGCUCGGACGGAUGGGGAGAACGGCGGUGACUUAGCCGCCCGUGGCCGGGAGAAGACGGAGGAGCCGAGAUGACAACAGCAGUCGUGGAAGGGUCGCCAAGCCCCGGUCCUUCUCUUCUGUCUGGUCGAAUCUCGUUUUCUUUUUCCAACCGCUCUUUUUGUCACCUUUUUAUGUGAGUUUCUCUUCCGCGUCUCCCGGCCGUACCAUCCACCCAUGCAGCAUGCACGCGUGUAUGUAUGCAUGCAUCGUCUCUCCUCCGUCCCGACUACCAUCAGCAGCACCACUACCGCCACCCCCAGCGCCACCACCGCUGCCGUCGCCACCGCGUUAUCCGUUCCUCGUAGGCUGGUCCUGGGGAACGGGUCGGCGGCCGGUCGGCUUCUGUUUUAUUAUUUUUUUUUUAUUUUUUAUCUUCUCCUUUCCUUAAUCUCGGAUUAUCAUUUCCCUCUCCUACCUACCACGAAUCGCAGAUGAUAAACAAGAGGGUAAAAAGAAAAAAGCUACAGACAUUUGGGUACCUCAGCUUUCCGAUAACUCGAAGAAUUCAAAGUCGACGAUUCCCAACAAGAGAAAACAGAACAAAAACAAGGUCAUUUUUAUUUAUCCUCAUCGUCAACAACAACUACCGACAACAACGAAACACCACCAAGAAUGUCAAUCCGCAAGGGUGUUCCUGCCCCCUCGACGCGCCUGUCGCGAUCCUCAUGGCGAGGACCGCGAUCUCCGUAUAGGUAGAUGAAAUUAUCCCGUGUCCGGUCCUGAUUCCCCGCAUGCCCUGCACAUCCUGACGCGUCGGUCAGCAGCCAAACAAUCAUAGGAAAUGAACCAGAAGAACAAAAAGAUCAUCUCUCUCGGUGUAUAGCAACACCAACAACAACCGCAUCGCAACAUCUUCAUCCGCAAGACGGAAAGAAAACAACAAUAAUGAGAAUGAAAUCACCACAACCAAGCCAGAUUUCACGUCCAUGAGUUUUUAUUAUAUUAUUAUCAAAACGAAAAACAGAAAAACUGUCAUAGAUAAAUAUAAAAAAAAAUAGAAACCACAAACGACUACUAGUACUCCAAUCUUAGAUGUAUAUGCUCCUAGAUAAGAUUUAGUAUUACCAUAAUCAUCGAAGAAUGAAAGACGACGAUGAUUCCUUACCGCUCCUGCCACCCGGUCUGUAUGUAGAGAGAAGAGAGAAAACGGUGAAUCCAAGAUCCCCGGGUCGGCGUCGGCAUGCCGCUGAUCGCAGUGGCCCCACCUCGGCAUGCCGGCGCCGGGCGAGGAAUUGCUCAUGAAAAAAGUAUCUUUCUGUAAAAAAAGAAAACAAUACAUGAUUAACCGAAAAGAAACCAACAAAAAGAACCCGAGAUCAGUCGAUUUCGAUCACUACGAUAAACACAUGGAAGAUUUCUUGAAAAAAGAAAAGAGAAAGAGACCACCUUCCCGGCGGCGGACACGCUCCUCUCCGUCGCCGUUCUGCACCAUGAUUCGAUCAAUAACAACAUCAUCAUCGGAGACCAUCUUUUAAUCAAUCAGCGUUGCAGUAGUCGACUCCCUGGACACGAAGGAGUCAUCCAUUUUUAUCCUCGCACUUCUUCGCUCUCAAAGCCGCCUUUAAAGUUGAAAUGAAAGGAUGGAAACAUGGAAUACAGUUUUAAUUGCACGUAUCACCAUUUUACUACAAAAAGAAAAAAAAACAACUUACACAUAGUAUUACCUUAGGUUUACGGAUAAGUAGAGUGUAGGCGUUUUUGAAACAGUUCAGCCAAUGCAAUCUUGUCUCGGCAUAAUCACUCUUUCUGCAUAUAAUAGUAGUAGUAGAUUUAUUCACAUCAACACAGCGAAAAACUCCAGCAUCAAAGUACACCUAGAGACAGCCCUUAAAAUAUAGUUUGCAGCUUUUAGAUGUACUUACACCAAAGAAGAUUACCGUCCUUACGAGAAAACAGAUACUCGGAUAUAGGAAUCAAGACAGCUCUGCACUGAAAACACACUCUCCUGUCACGACACCGCGCCACACCAGAGGCGUACGCGUGACUUCAUCGCAACGAUCCAUCGUGAUGUCCCUCGCAGAACCUAAAAAGACCAAAAAAAAAUCUUGGACCACAGUUGUCGAUUCUUGAAGACAAUAUUCUCGUGAGAACUUUGAGAUUCGCACUUGAAACCUCUUAGGAUCCACAAAAACAACAACCUCUGUAUGGAAAAUGCGCUAUUUUAUCUCAGCUUUUCUCCCAAACCUCGGUUUCUUCCUAUUCUUAUGUUGUCCCUAGUAUAUUUGCCUCCUUAUAAGAAAAGAAGCACAAGCUCGGUCGCACGGAUUAUUCCUUCUGCUAAUCUAUUAUUUUGUUCCUUUUUUUUUUCUUUGCCUUCACCCCCUUCACUCCCUGUAGCAACACAGAGUAGUAGACACAAUAAAUGAGAAGUUUGCAUGC
rnacentral:lncRNA from 1 species